GAUGAACGCUGGCGGCGUGCCUAAUACAUGCAAGUCGAGCGAACGGACAAGAAGCUUGCUUUUCUGAUGUUAGCGGCGGACGGGUGAGUAACACGUGGAUAACCUACCUAUAAGACUGGGAUAACUUCGGGAAACCGGAGCUAAUACCGGAUAAUAUUUUGUACCGCAUGGUUCAAAAGUGAAAGACGGUCUUGCUGUCACUUAUAGAUGGAUCCGCGCUGCAUUAGCUAGUUGGUAAGGUAACGGCUUACCAAGGCAACGAUGCAUAGCCGACCUGAGAGGGUGAUCGGCCACACUGGAACUGAGACACGGUCCAGACUCCUACGGGAGGCAGCAGUAGGGAAUCUUCCGCAAUGGGCGAAAGCCUGACGGAGCAACGCCGCGUGAGUGAUGAAGGUCUUCGGAUCGUAAAACUCUGUUAUUAGGGAAGAACAUAUGUGUAAGUAACUGUGCACAUCUUGACGGUACCUAAUCAGAAAGCCACGGCUAACUACGUG
rnacentral:rRNA from 1 species